AUUGAACGCUGGCGGCAGGCUUAACACAUGCAAGUCGAGCGGGGGAAGGUAGCUUGCUACCGGACCUAGCGGCGGACGGGUGAGUAAUGCUUAGGAAUCUGCUUAUUAGUGGGGGACAACAUCUCGAAAGGGAUGCUAAUACCGCAUACGUCCUACGGGAGAAAGCAGGGGAUCUUCGGACCUUGCGCUAAUAGACGAGCCUAAGUCGGAUUAGCUAGUUGGUGGGGUAAAGGCCUACCAAGGCGACGAUCUGUAGCGGGUCUGAGAGGAUGAUCCGCCACACUGGGACUGGGACACGGCCCAGACUCCUACGGGAGGCAGCAGUGGGGAAUUUUGGACAAUGGGGGGAACCCUGAUCCAGCCAUGCCGCGUGUGUGAAGAAGGCCUUAUGGUUGUAAAGCACUUUAAGCGAGGAGGAGGCUACUCUAGUUAAUACCUAGGGAUAGUGGACGUUACUCGCAGAAUAAGCACCGGCUAACUCUGUGCCAGCCGCCGCCGUAA
rnacentral:rRNA from 1 species